UUUUUUUUUUUUUUUUUUUUUUUUUUUUUUUUGAGAUGGAGUCUUGCUCUGUCACCCAGACUGAAGUACAAUGGCAUGAUCCUGGCUCACUGCAACUUCCGCCUCCCAGGUUCAAGUGAUUCUCCUGACUAAGCCUUCUGAGUAGCUGGGAUUACACAUGCAUGCCACCACGUCUGGCUAAUUUUUGUAUUUUUUUAGUAGAGUCAGGGUUUCACCAUGUUGGCCAGGCUGGUCUCGAACUCCUGACCUCAAGUGAUCCACCCACCUCAGCCUCUCAAAGAGCUGGGAUGCAGGCAUGAGUCACCAUACCCAGCUGCAUCACUUCUGUUCCUCUCUUUGGCUUCCUUCGGCUUCUCACAUAGCUUCCCUUUCUGUUAUUUGAGCCCCCAAGAGCUUUCUGUAUUAAAAUACAUUUGCCUGGAAGUAACAGAUAUCUGAGCAAAGCAUUCUAAGCUGAGAAGGAAUUUAUUGGGUCUUGGAAUGGAGAGCCAAUACAUUGAGAGUCCAGGGUUUGAGUUGUGCUUCAGGCACGGUUAGAUCCAGGUGCUCACACAAUGUCCUCCAAAGUCAUCUUCCUCCAUCUCUCUACUCCACUUUUUUUCUGCAUCACCUUAAUCCUCAAGCAGAUGCUUCCCAUGAAGAGAUGAGGUGUCCUUCAGUAGCUCCAGGAUUCCAUCAUGGCUGCUUAGCAACCUUGAUAGGGGGUGAGCACAUCCCCUUGUAAUAAGAACAUCAACGGUAGCAACAACAUUGGAGUAUUUACUGUGUGCCAGGCUCUUGUCUCAGUACUUGGCAGGUGUUUGCUUAUUUUAUCCUUAUUACACCCUAUAAGGUACAAAUAAUCCUCACUCCCAUUUGACCGAUGAAAGAACUGAGGCACAGACAUUACAGGAAAGGGAUCCAGAUCCAGACACCAAGAGAGGGUUCUUGAAUCUAGCACAAGAAAGAAUUUCAGGGCAAUUCCAUAGAGUAAAGUGAAAGCAACUUUAUUAAGAAAGUAAAGGAAUAAAGAAUGGCUACUCAAUAGACAAAGCGGCCCCAAGGGCCACUGGUUGCCUAUUUUUAUGGUUAUUUCUUGAUGUUACGCUAAAGAAGGGGUGGAUUAUUCAUGUCUCCCCUUUUUAGACCAUAUACGGUAACUUCCUGAUGUUGCCAUGGUAUUUGUAAACUGUCAUGGCGCUGAUGGGAGUGUAGCAGUGAGGACAGAGGUCACUCUGGUUUUGGUGGGAUUUGGCCAGCUUCUUUACUGCAACCUGUUUUAUCAGCAAGGUCUUUAUGACCUGUAUCUUGUGCUGAUCUCCUAUUGGUCAUCCUAAGAGUUAGAAUGCCUAACCGUCUGGGAAUGCCGCCUCAUUUUACCCAACCCCAUUUAAAAUGGAGUUGUUCUGGUUCACAUGCCUCUGACACAGAGAGAUGAUAUCCAGGUUUAAGGUUACAUUGGUUGCAAGUGGUGGAGCUGGGUGUUGAACCCAACUGUGCUGGCUUUAGAGUCCUUGCUCUUAACUAUCACUAGCAGAAAAAUAAUAAUAGCAAACCGUUAUUCAGAGCGGAUAGUCUGUGCCUGGCGUUAUUCUGAGUAUCAGGAAAUCAUGAUCAUGAUCAUGAUCAACAUCCAUUGAAUCCUUCCAGCAGCUCUAUGAUGUAGGCCCUAGGAGGCAUUAUCUUCAUUUCACAGAGGGGGAAAUUGAGGUACUGAGAGCAUAGACAAGCCUGAGGUCCCCUACGGAGCAGCUGGGACUUGAACCCAGGCAGCGGGGGUCCAGAGUCCCCAUCUGCCUCCCCCAGGGCCUCAUCCCUGAGUUGGGGGUGAGGUCAGCCUCAGAGAACUUCAUGAAGUAAGAUGGAGGGAGGUGCCCAGGAUAGCCCGGCGAGCUCACGAGCUAUGUGUCCACCUUUCCCUCCUCUCCCCUCUUCCCAUAGCCUGGUCCAGUCUUCCCAGAAUUCACUUGUGAAUAGACUGACCUAAUGCAAGCUGGACCAGUGGGGUGAGUCCAGGCAAAGCCAGCAAAGAGGCCAGUGGCCCAGCCUGAGCCACAAGGCGGGGCUUGCCAGGGCCCAGAGUGGUUGGUGUGAACCUAUGCCAAGAAGGGCAUGGGGGUGGAAGGGAAGACCCCCUCAUUCCCCAGAGCAGCUGGGGCUCGCUUCGAGUCCUGCCUCACGCACCUGCACGUGACUGUAACCUUGACACUUAUCAGACCUCUGCAAAACAAUCCUCGUCCACUGCCCCGACAGGAAGCCUGGGCAAGAUGCCAAGUCGUAUUUAAUGCGUUUAUGAGAAACCAAGACGUGGCUAUUUAUAGCCCUUUGAUUCAUCUGCCAAGUGAGAACGGCGUACAUGCAGUGACAUCUUACGAGUGGAAAGUAGGCAACGCCGUCUGCCCCUUACCACAGACAACAGGCACACCCUGCUGCGUGGGCUCAACAGGGUCUCACGCUAACCUGUGGGAAUGCCGCGGACAACGGUCCCCGUUCUAAAGUGCAGAAGCUGAGGCUUGGGAAGGGACAGUCACUUGCUUCAUGGACAGUGUGUGGCGGGGCUGGGGAAUGGAAUCCAGGCAGACUCUUAACUCACCCCGCGAGCUGUCUCGGCUGCACAGUCCACACCCCACCGUCAACUCCUUUAAAGACAAAACUCUUGGCCGGGAGCAGUGGCUCACACCUGUAAUCCCAGCACU
ensembl:lncRNA